UCACAGAUGUGAACAUGGAGGUGUGGCGGGGUUAAGUAAGUUGCUCAAGGGGGCACAGCUCAAGGCUGCAGACUCCAUGCUGUCCCGUGAGUCAAGACAGCAAGGAAUCUGGCUGGUCCAUGGCCAUGUCCCUCGGCAUCUAUCUUCUUACACACAGAAGAUGCCCAGUGAACUCCGCAAACUCUUGGACUCAAUGUGCCCAGCUAGGAUCCGAACUGGAGGGCUUUCGCUGCCACGAUGCCAUUAUCAACAUCCCAGUCUCCACCCAAUGCACAGACGUCAUUACACACACACAGCAAUGAAGAGGGUGCUUUACUCUCCUUUAUCAGGACUGACAAGGCUUCCAGAAGAGGAGGAGCUGCUCUAUCCCUUUCAGCUUGAAGGACACAUCCAGGCACCUCAAGGGCAAACUGGCUUAAUCAAGCCCAACCCGCCAGAUACCGCCCACUUCUCACCCACCCACACUGGCUGUGGACGUCUUCUCCAGCCCCCCCACACCCACGGAAUGCCACACACCUCGUGCCCUCUGGGGCCCUCCUGCCCACCCCACAGCUAAACGUCAAGCCUCAUCCUUCAUGGUUCGCAUCUCCACACUUUCUCUGCUGUCUCUGUUCCCAUCCUCAGCCUGCCGGCCAAGGUCUCGUGGGCAAGACCCCUUCCCUGCAAUGCCAUUCUGUACCCUCCAUCCAGCACCACCAGGAGCCCCUUCUCAAAUCUUCCCAUCGAUGAGGCUUCCAGCCCCUCCCAGUGGUGUGAACUUGCUUACACAAAAGAAGAGUCAACAAGGCAGAGUUUCGUUGUCUCUGGAGCUCUUAAAACCUGGGUUCAAGCUCAAGGCUCCCUCCACCGACUCUUUCUCUAAUGCUACCUGGGUAACCUGGGGGUUUCCAGCAUGCAGCCUGCCCCAAUGAAUGCUGCUUCCGAGCAGAUGGUGGAGGGGACUGGGAAAGACUCACUCUGACCCCUGAGUGUGUGGGUGUGUAGAGGGCAGCAGCUAAUGCUGUCCCAGCAGGGGAUAAAGCCAGAGGACACACAGACAGUGACAAUCCCACAAGGACCACCUUCUACAUUUAGAUUGCUCACGUGCACUUGGCUUUGCCUCUAGGAGACUCACACCCAGACCCAUUCUGAACAAUCAGUGAUAGAUGUGGGCUUGCUCACUUCUGUCCCCGGAAGCCAAACACCAUUGAGAAGGGCAGCAAGAGGUCCAAGGCUCCGACCCACCAGUGGGUGUGGCAUGGCCAGGAAAUGCCUCAGGAUCCAAGCUGUUGCCACUGCCUGGGUCCUGGACACAGACGUGAACAGCCGGACUCCCAGGCACUGCAUGGGAGACACACAUGCAUACCUGUGCAUGGGAGACAUGCACACCCCCGGGGAGGCCAAGGGAGGCCCGUCCUCCUCUGCCUAGCAGACCUCAUCCAAGGAGAGGUCUGACUGCUCUGCUUGCAGAAUUACAGGGCGACUCUGAGUGGAUGAAGACUCUGCUUAAUAUUUUUGGUAAUGAAAACACUUUGUAGGACAAGUGCUUUUUAAGACUCAGAGAUGGGGGAAUCUGAGUGGCAUUUUAAAUGGGCUGUUGGACAAGAUUCGCCACGGCCCUGGUAAAUGUCACACAUUUCACCAGCUGGGCGAAGAGGCAUGUUAGCUAUGUUUCUCCCAAACCUGAUUAAAAUGGAAAGUGCCUUUUGAA